rnacentral:lncRNA from 1 species
ACACACACUAACAUUUGUUAUAAGAUGAUUUUGAUUAUUAUUCAUAAUUAAAAUAAAAUAAAAUAAAAAUAAAAUAAUGUUUGACUUUUGUUUUGAGAAAAUUGUUUUAGUAUUUAAUUGGGUUUUAAUUGGAUCUAAUAUGACCCACUUCAUUUUUACUUGAACUUUCAAUGGAUCUAAAGUGGAUCCACAUGGAUCCAGUUUUUUAAAAAAUUCAACUUGGUUCGAUCCGGUUUAUUCCUACUAGAUUUAAUCUAAACUGGAUCCAUGUG